rnacentral:rRNA from 1 species
UACGUAGGGGGGCUAGCGUUGUCCGGAAUCAUUGGGCGUAAAGAGCGCGUAGGCGGCCAGAUAAGUCCGGUGUGAAAGUCAAAGGCUCAACCUUUGAAUGCCGCUGGAAACUGUCUGGCUAGAGUCCGGGAGGGGCGAGUGGAAUUCCUGGUGUAGAGGUGAAAUUCGUAGAUAUUAGGAAGAACACCAGUGGCGAAGGCGGCUCACUGGCCCGGUACUGACGCUGAGGCGCGAAAGCGUGGGGAGCGAAACGGG